rnacentral:rRNA from 1 species
GACGUAGGGGGCAAGCGUUGUUCGGAAUCAUUGGGCGUAAAGCGCUCGUAGGCGGUCGAUUAAGUCGGAUGUGAAAACCCAGGGCUCAACCCUGUGCCUGCAUUCGAAACUGAUCGACUUGAAUCCAGAAGAGGCAAGUGGAAUUCCCGGUGUAGCGGUGGAAUGCGCAGAUAUCGGGAAGAACACCAGUGGCGAAGGCGGCUUGCUGGGAUGUGAUUGACGCUGAGGAGCGAAAGCUAGGGGAGCAAACAGG